GGAGGAGAGACCCUUGAUGCCCUAAUUGGGGCCUGUUCCGGCGGUGAGUGGGGCGGACGGCCGCUGCUCCACUAUCCUGCCAAACAGACCCAACCAGAGGACGGCAACCGUGUGGAUCUGGCCCUGUCCCCCCCCCUCUGGACCGGUGGGGGUGAUCCCGGUCCACACCCUGGGAUCCAGACCGAAACAGCGCAACCCGGGGCCAGCAACAUUACCAC